rnacentral:rRNA from 1 species
UACGGAGGGAGCUAGCGUUGUUCGGAAUUACUGGGCGUAAAGCGCACGUAGGCGGCUUUGUAAGUUAGAGGUGAAAGCCCGGGGCUCAACCCCGGAAUUGCCUUUAAGACUGCAUCGCUUGAAUCCGGGAGAGGUGAGUGGAAUUCCGAGUGUAGAGGUGAAAUUCGUAGAUAUCAGGAGGAACACCGAUGGCGAAGGCAGGUCACUGGGCCGCAACUGACGCUGAGGAGCGAAAGCAUGGGGAGCGAACAGG